UUUAUAGAAAUGUAAUUUAUAUGCGUGUGUAUUCUUCACACGUAUAUUGCGUCGUUUACUUAAAAUUAUUCUUUAUACACUCUGUAUAUGCAUUAUCUGUGAACCUCGAGAUAAUUUAAUGCACAAGUUUUGCACAUAUUGUAAUGUUAAUUCUCAUUUUAUAUUAGUAAUAAUAUAAACAAAGUAAUAAUAUUAUAGUUGUUUUAUUUGAUUUAUUUAACAUUUUACAAUCGUAUAAGCAUUUAUAAAACUUCUACCAUAUAAAUUUGUCGACAUAACAUAGCUUUAAUCAUCUUUUGUUUUACUUAAUUAUUUUUAUCAUUAGAAUUACGAUUUAAUUAAUCAUUCGUUUAUCCCAAUUGUGAAACGUAAAUAAAAUACAUUCAAUUUUCUUGCGCGAAGUAGAAAAUUGUGUUUGAAGGAAUCAAAUUCAGCAGUUUUCACAAAUCAAAAGAUACACUCAGGUCAUUGAACUGUUGUACUUAACAUGCAACAAUGUUUAUGAUUUGGGGUAAGUAUUGCUAAUUAACACACAUUAAUAUUUUAUUGUAUGUACUCAUUUAUAAGCUAAUAAAUUUAGUUAUUAAAAACUUAAACACGGCAUGUUUUACAUAAAACAUCAAUAAAAUAAUAGUACUUAAAAUCUAACUUAUACGCGAAUACAUACACUACUAACACAUAUGAAAGUAGAUGUACCUAUCUAUAAACUAGUGUUUUUCUCGUGUUUAGUAACAAAGAUCGACGAAAAAUUUAAUGUAAAAAAAUAUUCUACAUAAAAACACCAGUUUAUACAAAUGUAGUUAUACUAUUUCCAACAUGUUGAAUACAUUUUUAUUAUAAAUUAUAUAAAAGUAUUUUACUUUAUGAUGAACAGCUACUAUAAAUUUGUAUUUACCUCUUAGUAGCUUAGUGGUCUUUAAGACCACAAACUAUUACAACAAAUUAAAUAAAAAUAUUAGUGUAAUAGGCAUUGCUGGAAUAAUAAACAAGGAGACUGGUUCGCAAGUGGAGUACAAUCUGUAAAUACGCAAAAUCUCCUUGAUUCUGUAAUUAUAACAAAUAAGAGUAUCAUAAGGAGAAUUCGCAUACCUCCUUACGAAGUAUAUAAAACUCAUUGGCGCAAUGGUGAGAUAUCUCCAUAUAGAAUAAAGAUUAAUAAGUUCCGAUAUUGUAUGUUUAUACAGUUUUAAGAAGUUAAUUUCUCUUUCAUAACUUUGUUACCACAAGUUGUUCAUAAUUUUCUUUAGAUCCCGAAAUACAGAGACAUUAUUGGGCAGCAUCUUUUCUUCUACCUGUCGGAACAAUUUUCGUUCUUGCUUUGAUAGUUAUUUUGAUGGUAAUAUUUUGUUCAUAGUUUCUCAUAUAUUCAUAACAAAAUAAUCAAUUGUUAUAAAUUAUAUUCAUGAAUGACGGUCAUUUUAAAUUUACAAUUAUUUCAGGUUUUAUUCAAAAGGUGUCCACAAAUGGUUGCCGUGAUUGUCGCAGCGAUUCUUGGCGUUAUUAUUGUAUUUACGACGGUGAUAUCAAUUAGUCAUGCACCGAUUUAUGCUUGACAAUCUUUAAUACUACUGUUCCAAAUAUGUGACAAAAUUUUAUCUUUUAUAGUAUAGAUUUUCCUAAAACAUUAUAGAUAAAGACUGGUGUAAAGAUAGUUGUAUCAUCAGCGGAGACAAUUAAACACACGUCCGCACAUAUUAAAUAUUUUUAUGAUAUGUAUAUUGUUUUAUAAUAGAAAAACAAAGUAUUAUUUUAUCAAUUACUAAUAUAAGUACUCUACUUACUACUAGCAA